GUUAGUGGCUGGAGGGUGUGGGAGCUUGAUGCCUGGGGGCUUGAUUGGUGUUGGAUCUCCAUGCAAGACCCCACGGAGGUGUGCACUUUGGGGCUACACUGCUCUGCACGGUAAGGGGUGGUCGGGUUAUCUGGUCAGUGGUUAGUGAUCUCUGUGCUUCUGCAUUUGGUCACCCGGUUCUGUCCAGCCCUGGUCACCCACCUGUCUGUAAUCCAUCCACGUGGUCCUGGAUCUGGCCGGUCUGGAUGGGCCUAAUGUGUGGUUUCUGGCUUCUGGUCGGGGGUUUCCUGGCCUCAGAGUCCUGUGAUGAAUGACCCUGGUGGUCGAGACUCCUCACCUCCUGCUCAGCAGUGUCUUCCCUGACAUUCUGGGUCUGGACUGUGUCCCCCUAAAUCCACAUACUGUAGUCCUGGGCAGCCCCCGAGUGCUCGUACUUGGAGAUGUAGACUUUAGGAGGGUAAUAAGGCUAGAGAGGUGUAAGGGUGGGGCCCUGGUCUGAUGGAUUGCUGUCCCUACAGGAAGAGAGAGACCCCUGUGCUCUCGGCUCCCACAGAUAAGAGGCCGUGUGGGGACGGGGACAGAAGGUGACCACCUCCAAGCCACGAGGAGCUCUCUCACCAGAACCCACCCCCAAUGGACGGCACCUUGAUCUUGGAGCUCUGGCCUCCAAAACUGAGAAAAUACAUUUCUAUUAUUUAAGCCACCGAGGGCACUGUGGUUUGCUAUGGACACCCAAGCCGCCUGAGACACCACCACUCAGGGCUUCCCCUGCCCCGCAGGGCUGGGUGGAUGCCCUCUGCUCCCUCUGUGGCCUGGGGCAAGCAGCCCCCGCCCUCAAGGGCGGAGGGCAGCGGGUACCAGGUGAGACCGAAGGUGCUGGGCUCGAGGCCUGGCUCCCCAACUUGCUGGCCUUGCUACACAGCCUCCUGAAGCCUCAGUCUUCCCUUCUGCCAAGGGAUGGAGGUGAGGAUCCACCCCCGGAGAGCGCCAAGGACGUGGGAAAGCCUCAGCAAGGGCACACAGCAGUCCGAGCCCUCCGCAGAGGCCCCGAGGAGGGGCGGGCGUCAGUCUGCGGGACCUCAUCACAAGAUCUGAGUGGUGGUCAGCUUCUGCAGCAGGGAGGGCAGUCAGGAAAUCUGCCUGCUUGGGGUUGCUGGGAAGCGUCUGGAUUUUUAGGCUUGGUGACCACAAAUCUGGGUUCGGGGGAGUGGCUGCACAGACCCCGUUCUGGACCUUUUCUGCCUCUGUAUUUGAAGCCCAGACCACGACGGGCUACCGGCUCUGUAUCUUCCAACAGCAAAUAAAUACGUUGAUUAGAGUCACAACUCUCGGGGAGGUUGACACAGACUAUAUUUGUG
rnacentral:lncRNA from 1 species